rnacentral:rRNA from 1 species
GUUUGAUCCUGGCUCAGAUUGAACGCUGGCGGCAGGCUUAACACAUGCAAGUCGAGCGGGGGAGGGUAGCUUGGUACCUGACCUAGCGGCGGACGGGUGAGUAAUGCUUAGGAAUCUGCCUAUUAGUGGGGGACAACGUUCCGAAAGGAACGCUAAUACCGCAUACGUCCUACGGGGGAAAGCAGGGGAUCUUCGGACCUUGCGCUAAUAGAUGAGCCUAAGUCGGAUUAGCUAGUUGGUGGGGUAAAGGCCUACCAAGGCGACGAUCUGUAGCGGGUCUGAGAGGAUGAUCCGCCACACUGGGACUGAGACACGGCCCAGACUCCUACGGGAGGCAGCAGUGGGGAAUAUUGGACAAUGGGCGCAAGCCUGAUCCAGCCAUGCCGCGUGUGUGAAGAAGGCCUUUUGGUUGUAAAGCACUUUAAGCGAGGAGGAGGCUCCUUUAGUUAAUACCCUAAAGAGAGUGGACGUUACUCGCAGAAU